UUUGAUUAUGGCUCAGAUUGAACGCUGGCGGGAUGUUUACACAUGCAAGUCGAACGGCAGCACGGACUUCGGUCUGGUGGCGAGUGGCGAACGGGUGAGUAAUGCAGUCUGGAACGUGCCUAGUAGCGGGGGAUAACUACGCGAGCAGAAGAAUGCCGCAUACGUUCUUCAAACAGUGCCGGGGACCCGGGCCUCGCACCAGAGCGGCCGAUAUCGACAUACAGUUGGUGGGGUAACGGCUCACCAAGGCGAUUAUCCGUAGCUGGUUUGAGAGGACGACCAGCCACACUGGGGACUGGAGACACGGGCCCAGACUCCUACGGGAGGCAGCAGUGGGAAUUCUGGACAAUGGGGAAACCCUGAUCCAGCCAUCCUUGGGCAGGCGAUGAAGGCCUUCGGGUUGUAAAGCACUUUUGCAGGAAGAAACGGCACGGGAUAAUACCCGUGCAACUGACGGUACCUGCAGAAUAAGCACCGGCUAACCACUGCGCCAGCAGCCGCGGUAAUACGUAGGGUGCGUUAAUCGGAAUUAUCAAGGUAAAGCGUGCAAGCAGGCGGUUCGGAAAGAAAGAUGUGAAAUCCCAGAGCUUAACUUUGGAACUGCAUUUAACCACGAGCUAGAGUGUGUCAGAGGGAGGUGGAAUUCCGCGUGUAGCAGGAAUGCGUAGAUAUGUGGAGGAACACCGAUGGCGAAGGCAUUUCCAGAUAACACUGAUGCCCAUGCACGAAAGCGUGGGGAGCAAACAGGAUUAGAUACCCCUGUAGGUCCACGCCCUAAACGAUGUCAACUAUUGCUAGCCUUCGGGCUCGGUAGCGCAGCUAACGUGAAGUUGACCGCCUGGGGAGUACGGUCGCAAGAUUUAAAACUCAGCGAAUUGACGGGGACUCCGCACAAGCGGUGGAUGAUGUGGAUUAAUUGAUGCAACGCGAAAAACUCACUACCCUUGACAUGUCUGGAAUCCCGAAGAGGAUUUGGGAGGUUUGCAAAGGAGAACCGGAACACAGGUGUUGCAUGGCUGUCGUCAGCUCGUGUUCGAGAUGUUGUUAAGUCCCGCAACGAGCGCAACCCUUGUCAUUAGUUGCUACGAAAGGGCACCUAAUGAGACUGCCGGUGACAAACCGGAGGAAGGUGGGGAUGACGUCAAGUCCUCAUGGCCCUUAUGGGUAGGGCUUCACACGUCAUACAAUGGUCGGGACAGAGAAUGCCGGAAACCCGCGAGGGGGAGCCAAUCCCAGAACCUGAUCGUAGUCCGGAUCGCAGUCUGCAACUCGACUGCGUGAAGUCGGAAUCGCUAGUAAUCGCGGAUCAGCAUGUCGCGGUGAAUACGUUCCCGGGCGGUACACACCUGGCCCGUCACACCAUGGAGUGGGUUUUACCAGAAGUAGUUAGCCUAACCGUAAGGAGGGCGAUUACCACGGUAGGAUUCAUGACUUCAGAGUCGUAAUGAUAG
rnacentral:rRNA from 1 species